AAAAUGCGAUAAGUAAUGUGAAUUGCAGAAUUCAGUGAAUCAUCGAAUCUUUGAACGCACAUUGCGCCCGCCAGUAUUCUGGCGGGCAUGCCUGUUCGAGCGUCAUUUCAACCCUCAAUCUCCCGGGUUUGGUGUUGGGGAUCGGGCUGCGGUUCUACCGCGUCCCGGCCCCGAAAUCUAGUGGCGGUCUCGCUGCAGCCUCCAUUGCGUAGUAGCUAACACCUCGCAACUGGAACGCGGCGCGGCCAAGCCGUUAAACCCCCAACUUCUGAAUGUUGACCUCGGAUCAGGUAGGAAUACCCGCUGAACUUAAGC
rnacentral:misc_RNA from 1 species